rnacentral:rRNA from 1 species
UAUGUGAUCGUCUCUCGCAUAUCAAUAAGCGGAGGAAAAGAAACUAACAAGGAUUCCCCUAGUAACGGCGAGUGAAGCGGGAAGAGCUCAAAUUUGAAAUCUUAAAGGGUUUCCCAUUACGAAUUGUAGUUUAAAGAAGUGUUUUCUGUUGAGGUUUUGGUAAAAGUUCUUUGGAAUAGGACAUCAUAGAGGGUGAGAAUCCCGUAUUUGACCUUUACUUUCAACUUUGUGAUACACUUUCAAAGAGUCGGAUUGUUUGGGAAUGCAGUCCAAAAUGGGUGGUAAAUUUCAUCUAAAGCUAAAUAUUGGCGAGAGACCGAUAGCGAACAAGUACCGUGAGGGAAAGAUGAAAAGAACUUUGAAAAGAGAGUUAAACAGUACGUGAAAUUGUCAAAAGGGAAGCGUUUGACACCAGUGUUGUUUUUCUGAAAAUCAAUUAAAGAACUGUUUAUGCUAAGCUGUUUAGACUUUAUCAGCUAAUCUGUUUAGUUUUGAGCUUUUCUUUAAUGCACUUUUCAGUUAAUAAGUCAACAUCAAUUUCUUUUGCUGUAAAAAAGCUUGAGGAAGGUGGCUUGAGAUUCGUCUUAAGUGUUUAUAGCCUCUUGCCUAUGCAGUCGGAGAGAUUGAGGUCUGCAGCGUAGAUCCUUCGGGGCUAAAUGCAUUUGUGCUAAGUUAUAGCAUUUUAUAGACAACUUGUUGACUAUGAUUUGUCUUGUAGCUUACUCGCUUAUGUUAUUUUACCUACGCUUAGGAUGUUGAUCUACAGAGCGAGAGU